AGUUGGGUUCCAAAGAUAAGGCAGGCUUGUUCCAGAGGUCGCAAUUCUGGGCCGGGAUGCCAGCUGUUUUUUCACAAUCACUCAGUACUCAGGAAGAAGGUGAAGGCUUCCGAGCCUCACUACUGCGGGAAGCAGCGGCGGAACCCUGCGCUCUGGGGAACCGCCUACCUCCCUCUUGCGCUUGUGAAAAUAGGAGACAGGUGCACUUCUAGCCCGAGCUUAAAACUUCCCCAUCUCUAAAGACGCUUCCAUUGGAAAGAUGCCCAAGGUUUCCUUGGUAGUCACAUGAUUUUGUUUCGUUUUAAAGUUUAAAAGUCCAUCCUAAUUUGUAAGGUCAAAGUAUAGAAAUCUCUUGUUUCUCAGGAAGCCAGACAAAUGUCCUCCGCAGGAUACCUUUCCCUGAAUCAGAACUUCAAUUUUCUUUUUUUUUUCUAAGACAUGUGUUCAAUUGAAUUUCAAUUUUCAAUAAAAGGUCACGGAGGGGAUUUUAUUACUUAUCACUAUUCUAUGCCACCAGUUUUAUAAGCAGAACAUUGAUGAAUUCUAGAGUAGAUUUUCAGAUGUGAAGUCUGGAUAAUUAGUAUAGCCUAAUGAGAACAGACCUGGUAUUGAUUCCUUUCUAAACAGACAUCUAAGAGAAGCCACAGAGGGGAAGAACUGAGGACAUGUGGAAGUUCUCAUUAUAAACUAUGGCUCACACACAAAUAAAACUUUUCCACUAGCCAUUAUUCUUGAAUAGCCGAAUAUUAGUUUCAGUCAAACCAAAAGGUCAGUCUAUCCUUCCCCUACACCUGGUAUUUUAUAUUGGUUUUUUCUUUUACAAAGCAAACUUCAAAAUAAUCUAGUUGUUUUUGUUUGUUGGAGUGGAGGGGCUUGAGACAGAGUUUUACUACGGAGUUCAGGCUUUUUAACUCACUCUGUACCCCAGGCUGGUCUUGACUUCACAGCGAUCCUCCUGCUUCCUGCCUCCAGUGUGGGUUUACAGGUGUGCUCUGGCUUCAAAUAAUCUUGAAGCCACAUUUUACUCAGAAGUACUUUUAAUUAGAGUAACUGCUUUAAAUCGGGAGGUGCAUCAGGCACAGUCCGCUCAUUCUGCAGUGCCAAGACUGAACCCAGAGCCCUGCACAUGUAACUAUGUUUAAAAAUCAAAGUUUUAACUGUUGCUGGAGACCGUGGAUGAAGGAUGCACUGCUCUGGAGUUUCUCAGUCACUGUAACUUCUUUCACUGCAGUUUUGAUGACUUCAGAUACUCCGCCGGUUCCAAGGAUGCAAGGCAAACUUAAAAACACUUCAUUAUUUAUAUCAUAAUACCCCUGAAAUUAAAAAGACAAUAAAAUAGAGCUGAAUCACUGUACAAAGUUAAAUCAUAAAAA